rnacentral:lncRNA from 1 species
GCGUCUUUCAGACCCAUCAUCAAGGUACUUGAGCAUAAGCUUCCUUCAAUGAUACAGGAGUGUCAUUGGCUUCAACAGCAUUACUGAAGUGUUGCAAGGUACAGGAAUGCUGAAGCACCUCACCAAACUGGAGUGGGAAAUACUGAUAAGAGAGCUGUUCCCACUCCAAGGGCUGCUUCCUUGCCUCCUUACACCUGUGUGAGCACACCAGCUGCAAGACAUGAUCUAGUAAUGACCCAGUGUCUGCCUGACCCUGCUGCUGCAGCUGGCUUUUACUGAAGCUGCCUUUCCAGGGCACUGUUCUUUGUGCAAAAGUGGAGCAAAAGAAGAAAUCUGGAGGUCCCUGACAGUACCAGCACAGGGAGGUUCUCAGCAUGGGGAGGAGAGAGAAGGGCUGGGGACAGGAUACCUGGAGCACUGUGCAGCUGGGAAAGACAAGGAAAGGGCAAUCCUGCACAUCCUGGCUCACACACACUCCCAGGUUUAGAACAUCAGAUGACUCUUAGCAGAUAUGAAAUGCUUCUGGAAGCCAAACAGUGGUUCUGUUCAUACCCUUUGGACCACCCUGCUGUAAGUUACCAAUCCUCGUUAAAACAGAGUAUAUAUUAUUUCUUUGUAGUCUG